ACAAGAAUAGCUCAGUUGGUAGAGCAUGAGAUUCUUAAUCUCAGGGUUGUGAGUUCGAGCCCCAAGUUGGGUGAAAUAUUCUUGCA